UGCCAGUCUCCAAAUCC
rnacentral:misc_RNA from 1 species